AUUGAACGCUGGCGGCAGGCUUAACACAUGCAAGUCGAGCGGGGAAGGGUAGCUUGCUACCUAACCUAGCGGCGGACGGGUGAGUAAUGCUUAGGAAUCUGCCAUUUAGUGGGGGACAACAUUCCGAAAGGAAUGCUAAUACCGCAUACGUCCUACGGGAGAAAGCAGGGGAUCUUCGGACCUUGCGCUAAAUGAUGAGCCUACGUCGGAUUAGCUAGUUGGUGGGGUAAAGGCCUACCAAGGCGACGAUCUGUAGCGGGUCUGAGAGGAUGAUCCGCCGCACUGGGACUGAGACACGGCCCAGACUCCUACGGGAGGCAGCAGGGGGGAAUAUUGGACAAUGGGCGGAAGCCUGAUCCAGCCAUGCCGCGUGUGUGAAGAAGGCCUUAUGGUUGUAAAGCACUUUAAGCGAGGAGGAGGCUACUUAGAUUAAUACUCUAGGAUAGUGGACGUUACUCGCAGAAUAAGCACCGGCUAACUCUGUGCCAGCAGCCGCGGUAA
rnacentral:rRNA from 1 species